rnacentral:rRNA from 1 species
GACGAACGCUGGCGGCGUGCUUAACACAUGCAAGUCGAACGAAGUGGCGAACGGGUGAGUAACGCGUAAUCAACCUGCCCUUCAGAGGGGGACAACAGUUGGAAACGAUUGCUAAUACCGCAUACUGAAGGAGGGGAUUGCGUCGGCUUGGCUAGUUGGAGGGGUAACGGCCCACCAAGGCGAUGAUCAGUAGCCGGGCGGAGGAGAUGAACUGCCACAAUGGGACUGAGACACGGCCCAGACUCCUACGGGAGGCAGCAGUGGGGAAUCUUCCGAAAUGGACGAAAGUCUGACGGAACAACGCCGCGGGGGUGAUGACGGGCUUCGGGUUGUAAAGCUCUGUUAAUCGGGACGCGGUACCGGAAUAGAAAGCCACGGCUAACUACGUGCCAGCCGCCGCGGUAAUUC